rnacentral:rRNA from 1 species
UACGUAGGGAGCAAGCGUUGUCCGGAAUCAUUGGGCGUAAAGCGCGCGUAGGCGGCCUGUUGCGUCCGCUGUGAAAGCCCGGGGCUUAACCCCGGGUCGGCAGUGGAUACGGGCAGGCUAGAGGUAGGUAGGGGAGAAUGGAAUUCCCGGUGUAGCGGUGAAAUGCGCAGAUAUCGGGAGGAACACCGGUGGCGAAGGCGGUUCUCUGGGCCUUACCUGACGCUGAGGAGCGAAAGCGUGGGGAGCGAACAGG